CCGCGCUCGCCUCCCUUCGCGCAUCCUACAACCGCGUGCUCCUUCCUUCGAUGGUGCGGAUCCCCCGUGACUACCAUCUCCCUCCGCCCUCCCGCGCUCCAUCCGCCACCAUCCGCGCUUCCUACAGCCGCGCGCUCCUUCGACGGCGCGGAUCCCGCACCCUCGAAUCACGCCAGCAGAUCCCACAAUCAAGCAGCGGCGACAGGAAUAGGGGCGGGCUACGCGGGCGCUACUACGACGAGGGUGAGGGCGAGCGCUCCGGCGCCGCGGCGCCAUUCAUCAUAAUCGGUCGAGCUCCUGGAGGGAACGGCUGCAGAGCGGACGAGAUCGAGGAGCGGGCGGGCGGGUGCCGCCCGUGACGGCGCCUAGGCUCAGGCUCCGCGACGGCCGCCACCUCGCCGCGCAAAGGUCUCACCGGCUCCCGAGAGGACAGCGCCCGCGCCUCCCAGGUUUCAAAAAACCUUCUGAGAAGGCCUGUUGAUAUUCUAAGGAAAUUGUUUGAUGGGAACACCUUGAGAUCACAAAUCAAAGAAUUCUUUAAUCGCUUUGGUGCUGGAGAGGCUGCUGCAAUGUGCUUAAUGAUAGCUGCGAAGCUACUUUAUGUUGAAGAUAGUCUGAUAAGCAAUUCUGUUUCUGAGAAAGCCACUGAGGCAUUUGAGGACCCUGGGCUUGUUGGGAUGCCUCAAAUUGUUGGUACCACUGCUUUAUCUAAUACACGAACUUAGGCUGGAGGCUUUACUAUGGGCCAAGUUGUUCAAGAAGCAUAACCUUUGUUUUCUGGUGCAUAUGAAGGGCUUUGUUUGUGCUCGUCAAGACUACUUUAUCUCAUAUGGGAGUUUCCUAUUAUAGUGAUUCGAAGACCGGCUGGUACUAAUAAAUGCAAGGAUGGUGUAAUUGUUUGUAGGCUUUCAGCUGGGGCCAUGAAAAUUCUUGAGAGCAAGAUUCAUUCACUGGAAACAUUUUUAAGAUCUAGAAGAAAUAAGAGAAGGGGCCACGCAGUACCAUUGACACUUACCCUCAAGGCCUACAGUUGUUGUAAUUGAAGCGGGUCAAGACAUAGCAUUUGCAAAGAUUUAGUUCAUUCUGAUCACUCUGCAAUAUUUCGGUAGUCGAUGGAUGGAGAAUGGUGGAUCGAGGAGACCGAUGACAUACUGCUGCAUCCCGUGCUGCUCAAUGGGAAGCAGUACCGGCCAGUCUGGUCAAACGACGGCACCGUGAUCCACGCAGAUUUCUAGUUAAGUUUCUUCUGAUGGUGAUGGUACUAAAGAGGACUAUGUUCAUAUCCGGGCAAAGCGAGGCCAAGCCACUAACAGCCAAAGCCUUGCAGAAAGACUAGGGAGAAAGAAGAUAAGUGAGAGGAUGAAGCUUCUUCAAGAUCUUGUUCCUGAAUGCAGUAAGAUCAUUGGCAAGGCAAUCAUGCUCGAUGAGAUUAUCAACUAUGUGCAGUCAUUGCAACGACAAGUCGAGGUAGUGUUAGUGCAUCUGUAGCUGAAUUGUUUUGUAAUAUAUGUGGCAUCUUGUUAGUGCAUCUGCAGUUCUUGUCAAUGAAACUCGCAACUGUUAACCCCGAGCUUGGCUUUGACAUUGAGCAGAUCAUAUCCAAACAAGAUCAAGCGGCCUUACUGGCCCAUUUAACCAAGGAAUCAUGCAGCCAUAAUUGAUGUGCACCAUUGCCAAUCCCGUUGAUGUUUUGCAUGGAGCUAUUCACGAGGCGUCAACAAUGAACCAUUAUUGAUUUGUCCACUGUUAUGUUCGUUGCUGGUGCAAUCAUGGGAUACAUUAUGUUCACUGAAUCUACACUCCCAGUUCACACUGAACUUACCCCUAAAUCUUGUGGCUUCCAAGAUUGCAGUCUAGACUACGGUGAUGAAUCCAAUAACCAAAUAUCCUUGGACUUUUAUUGUAGCUUUUUGUGUGCAUUUGUUCCGAUACUUAACAAUUAACAUUAUAUGACACCAUAGUUUCUCUAAUCACAUGUAACUCCAUCUAGCCAUCUAGGUUUGUCCUAAGUCAAACAUAUCUUUUAAUUUUGAUUAGAAAUAUCUAUAAAAAAUAAUUGUCUUAAAUAAGCAGAGUUAUUUGGUUUUAGUAAUGAAUUUAGCAAUGCCAAUGCUAUUUUUAUCGUUCUAUAUAAAUUUUAGAUAUUCAUGGUCAAACUUAAAAAUGUUUGACUUGGACAAAUAUAGAUAGACCUACACAUGCAUUGUGAUUUUAGGAAGUCCUACAAUUCUCCUCCCCAAAGUCUGCUAUCAACUUCUAACAGUUAGUCCAGUUUUCAUGAACAAAUUUAGUUUUAAUCAUUCUAUGUUGUGCCAACCGCCAGCAACUAAUAAUCAGAGCUGGGUCAUAUCAUCAUAUCAUAGUAGAUUGUAUAGCUUUCUUCCCUGUGCAUGCUUACUGGUUACUAGAUGAAAAAGGUCGUGUUACGUUAUGGCGCACUCCUCUCCUUUGAAUAGGACAUGCUUUCACACUCUCAAUUCGGCAUAUCCUUCUAGAGACUAGCUCACACUCCAAUGGUCUUCUAAAUGAAUAGCACACUAUAGUCAAGAGUAUGACUUACCAAAUUCAUUAUUGGUUCCAAGCAUCUUGAAAGAGAAGUCCAUCGUCUCUCUUACUGUCAUCUCAGCAUGGCUAACAGAAGCACGCAGCGACAAGAUUACCCCACAUGUUGUAUCAUGGUUUACUAGCUAGAGAGGCUACUCAAGAUGAGGAAUUUGAAGUUAUGUAUGGUGAGGACGAUGAUGAAGACAAAGAUGACGAGGAUGAUGAUGAUUAUGAUACAAAGACCAAGGGGGCUACUGGAGGGGGAAGGGCAGCAGCGAACGACCUGUUGAGUGCAAGCAGGAGUGAGUGCUGCACAUUGAAUAUUGGCAUGCAUUGGUUGUGGAGCAAUUAGUCUGGUUCUACUUGAUGCAAGGUCAUUGAGUUAUUGAAGUGAUAUUUUGUCGAAUAUUUUAUAUGCCAUUGCAAAGCACGGGCAUCUAACUAGUCUUUCUUAUAUAUGUACACUACAAUACAUAAUCAUUUAUGCCAUUGUUUACUACAAAUAUAUAUAUUAGGCAACUCUUGAACUGGUU